CUCACUUGGAACCCUAGCCAACUUGGGCAGACAGACACCAACUAAACCCGGCAAAAACAGAGAAGGAUCGCCGCUGCACUAGGAUCAUCAGACGUCGCAGAACGUCAGCCACAACACAAAGAGGAAACUCCACCAAACACAAGGGGGAUGGAGGUGUUUAACCGACAUGCGGGCUAAACAACUCCAUCCCUGAUUGAAGUAGAGAUCUCCAACACAAAUCAACUUAGGC
rnacentral:misc_RNA from 1 species